AGUUAUAUAAUAUAGUAAUAGUAUAUAUAAACUUUAUAGGUUUUUACACUUAUUACUAGAUAUAGCAACCCAUCUAUAUAAGGUUGUAGGUUCAAUUCCUACUAUAACUA